CGGGUGAAAGGCUAAACAAACUUGGAAAUAGCUGGUUCUCUCCGAAAACUAUUUAGGUAGUGCCUCAAGUACUACCAUCGGGGGUAGAGCACUGUUAUGGCUAGGGGGUCAUGGCGACUUACCAAACCAUUGCAAACUCCGAAUACCGAUGAGUACAGCUUGGGAGACAGAGCACCGGGUGCUAACGUCCGGACUCAAGAGGGAAACAACCCAGACCGCCAGCUAAGGUCCCCAAAAUUGGCUAAGUGGGAAACGAAGUGGGAAGGCUAAAACAGUCAGCAUGUUGGCUUAGAAGCAGCCAUCAUUUAAAGAAAGCGUAAUAGCUCACUGAUCGAGUCGUCCUGCGCGGAAGAUGUAACGGGGCUAAGCCAGUUACCGAAGCUGCGGAUGUGCAAUUUAUUGCAUGUGGUAGGAGAGCGUUCUGUAAGCCUGUGAAGGUGGCUUGUGAAGGCUGCUGGAGGUAUCAGAAGUGCGAAUGCUGACAUGAGUAGCGUUAAAGGGGGUGAAAAGCCCCCUCGCCGAAAGCGCAAGGUUUCCUACGCAACGUUCAUCGGCGUAGGGUGAGUCGGCCCCUAAGGCGAGGCAGAGAUGCGUAGCUGAUGGGAAACAGGUCAAUAUUCCUGUACCGAUUGCAAGUGCGAUGUGGGGACGGAGAAGGUUAGCUCAGCCAACUGUUGGAUAUGUUGGUUCAAGCGUGUAGUCGUGUCUCUUAGGCAAAUCCGGGAGAAUUAGAUGAGGCGUGAUAACGAGUCUGCUUGCAGACGAAGUGAGUGAUACCCUGCUUCCAAGAAAAGCCACUAAGCUUCAGCUUGUAAUUGACCGUACCGCAAACCGACACUGGUGCGCGAGAUGAGUAUUCUAAGGCGCUUGAGAGAACUCUGGAGAAGGAACUCGGCAAAUUGACACCGUAACUUCGGAAGAAGGUGUGCCUUUAGUAGGUGAACCAUUUACUUGGGGAGCCCAAUGAGGCCGCAGAGAAUCGGUGGCUGCAACUGUUUAUUAAAAACACAGCACUCUGCAAAGACGAAAGUCGACGUAUAGGGUGUGACUCCUGCCCGGUGCUGGAAGGUUAAAUGAUGGGGUGCAAGCUCUUGACUGAAGUCCCAGUAAACGGCGGCCGUAACUAUAACGGUCCUAAGGUAGCGAAAUUCCUUGUCGGGUAAGUUCCGACCUGCACGAAUGGAGUAAUGAUGGCCACACUGUCUCCUCCAGAGACUCAGCGAAGUUGAAAUGUUUGUGAUGAUGCAAUCUCCCCGCGGAAAGACGGAAAGACCCCAUGAACCUUUACUGUAGCUUUACAUUGGACUUUGAACAGAUCUGUGUAGGAUAGGUGGGAGGCUUUGAAGAGUGGACGCUAGUUUGCUUGGAGCCAGC
rnacentral:rRNA from 1 species